rnacentral:rRNA from 1 species
CGGAGGAUCCAAGCGUUAUCCGGAUUUAUUGGGUUUAAAGGGUGCGUAGGCGGCGUUGUAAGUCAGUGGUGAAAGUUUUCAGCUUAACUGGAAAAUUGCCAUUGAUACUGCAGUGCUUGAGUACAGAUGAGGUGGGCGGAAUGUGUCAUGUAGCGGUGAAAUUCAUAGAUAUGACACAGAACACCGAUUGCGAAGGCAGCUCACUAAGCUGUAACUGACGCUGAGGCACGAAAGCGUGGGGAUCAAACAGGAUUAGAUACCCUGGUAGUCCACGCCCUAAACGAUGAUCACUCGAUGUGUGCGAUAUACGGUACGCGUCCAAGCGAAAGCGUUAAGUGAUCCACCUGGGGAGUACGCCGGCAACGGUG